CAGCCGCCGCCCCGCCCCGCCCGGCCCGCCAGGCCGCCGCCGCCGCGCCGCCAUGGCCGCGCUGCACGCCAAGGCCGGCGGCCCCCCGCAGAUCCCCGACACCCGCCGGGAGCUGGCCGAGCUGGUGAAGCGCAAGCAGGAGCUGGCGGAGACGCUGGCCAACCUGGAGCGGCAGAUCUACGCCUUCGAGGGCAGCUACCUGGAGGACACGCAGAUGUACGGGAACAUCAUCCGCGGCUGGGACCGCUACCUCACCAACCAGAAGAACUCCAACAGCAAAAACGACCGGAGGAACCGCAAGUUCAAGGAGGCCGAGCGGCUCUUCAGCAAGUCCUCGGUUACCUCGGCAGCGGCGGUCAGUGCAUUAGCUGGAGUUCAGGACCAGCUGAUUGAGAAGCGGGAGCCAGGCAGUGGCACAGAAAGUGACACUUCUCCAGACUUUCACAAUCAGGAGAAUGAGCCCAACCAGGAGGAUGCUGAAGAGCUGGAUGGGUCUGUGCAGGGGGUGAAACCCCAGAAAGCUGCUUCCUCUACUUCUUCGGGGAGCCACCACAGCAGCCACAAAAAACGGAAGAACAAAAAUCGACACAGUUGUAUGCAUCCUGUAGCGUUCAUCAGGACCCCAUUGCCCCCAUUGUAUCAAGGAGGGGAAAGCAUGCUGAAGAAGAUGAACAAGCAGCACAGGGUACUAACUCCAGCUCUGGUACAGCUAGGCUUUUGACUAGGCUUUUUCAAUUCUCCUAUCUGUCCAGGAGAAUAAGACUGUCUUCCUUCCAGUAGAGGAAGAUUGCAGUCCUGGCCUCCUGUGCUUGCUUCUCGGUUUCUGCAGAUCCAAGUAAGAUAGGAGUGUCAGUACUUUCUUUGGAGAAGGAGGGUGAAAAAGCAACUUGGAAUGUUUUGGGGGUUGUGGACGCUCCCAGUGCCUUCACUAAGAUUUCCACUCCAAGCCCUUUCAGCUGUCAUGUCCCAGACUGAGUCUCUUUUGAUUAUGGCAUUUGUCACGUUAACCUCAAAGUGUUUGUUAUUAAACUGACCUGAAAUUCCUGUGAAACAAAGAUUUUCUGAACUCUUUGUGGUUGAAUUUAGAUGACCAGUUCUGUCCCUUAAGGUAAGCCCCUAAGGUGUGAUGCAGCAUGGCGGGCUGACGACUUGGAAAUCUGAAAUAAACUCCCUGCCUUACAGCGCUGCUCUCCAUGGGCCAGCAUGAUGUGCUGCUUACCUGUGUCUUGGUGCCCCUCAGCAGAGCUGGCCCAAGGCUUUCUACAGAGUAUGACAGUGCACUGUGGAGUCAGGCCCUAAGGGGAAAAAUCCAUGGAAAUCCAUGCACUUGGAAAGAGGAGACAUUUACUGCACCUUUCUGGAAGUGAUUGCUGGAACUGGUGCCUAAAGAUUAUUAGAAGUAAAGGAGCUUUUAAAAAUCGAGUGUUCUUGCUAACUUUGAGCUUGUUGGCUUUGUGUGUGGAUGGGCUUUCCUUUUUAAGGGACCUUCCCAUACAAUUACAAGAGAGAAAUGUUUUAAAGAAAAGUGGUAAAAAUUUACAAAGAUUGCUGGGGGAAGGUUGGUUUGGGAGAUACAGAGGUAGGUAUAGUGCUUGAAAAAUGUUUAACAACUUUUUCUCCUUCGCUAGGUUUUGAGUCAUUAGCGUGUCUUUAAUUCUUAGAUCAGAAUUUUCUUCCUACAGCAGUCUUAAUUGGGCAAACAUCCUGAAGUACUGGAUGUCCCUUUGGGUCCUCAUGAGCUGAUGCUGGCUACUGUCGGGGACAGAAUGUUGGACAUGAGGAGCCCUGGUCUGAUCUGGUAUGUAUAUUAGGUUAGGCUGGGAAGUUUUUUUUAAAAACAGAAAAGCGUGAUGGAGGAUUGAUCUCAAGUUAAACAAAAAGCCAAGAGCCGACUACUAGACUCAUCAGUGGUGAUGCUUCCGGGAUUUAGGUCUACAUGAAUCCCCACUGAGAAAAAUGCCAGUCGACUGAAUGAGCACGAUGGCAGCUCUCUGGCCAAGUGUCUGCACAUGGGAGUGGCUCACUCUAAAGAACUUAGAUGGGAGAAAAUCUUGGACCAUGUACUUGCAUCAUUUUUAAAUCACCUGAGUUGCAGGAAGACUAAGGUGUAGUAGUAGUAGUAGUCCUGAGUUCCUGACUGUUCUGUGCUUCCACCUCAGUCAGGAACUUCCCCAAAAUUGGCUGAUCUUGCUGCCGCCACCCCUGUCAUCUGCAAACCCAUGGAGAGGUAUUUCUUUUUCCACUGGAACUAGGGUAUGAUUCAGUAUGUCCCAUCUAUGUUGUCAGACUUAGAUUACUUUUGUUGCUGAUAAUUAGCAUUGUAGUUUUGGUUUUGCUUUGGUUUUUUGUUGGUUUUGGUUUUGGUUUUUUUGUUGUUUUUUUUUUUAAACCAAAGUGUAUAGUUAACAAAUUGCCUUUGGGUUUCUUUGUUUUAAUCCAUGUAGAGUGGAAAGUUCUUCAUUUUGUGGAACAGCUUAUUUUGAUUCUUACUCGAGCAGAGAAGAAGGUGGUUAAGCCUUUUCUCUAACUUUAAUUUUAAACACCAUCCCCUAAAAUUUACACAGUGCUUUUAGAUGCAGGGAAGGCUGGAGCUCCAAAGCCAUCUUGCUCUUUGCUAUCUUUGAGGUUGGGUGGAUUCUCUUUUUAAUACAAACUUCUGUCAUUUGUACAUAAACAAUAAAAUUACAUGUUUGUCUCUC